rnacentral:rRNA from 1 species
AAUAAAAUAAUUAUUAAUUAUUUUUGUUUAGAUUUAAUAAAAAUAAUUUUAUUUAUAAUUAUUUUUAGUAUAUAUUAUAGGAAAAAUUUGUUUAAUUAUAGUUAAUUAGUAUUGUAAAAGAAAUUUGGUAAAUCAGUUUAUUAUAUAUAAGUAAAAUUAAGUUUUUGUACCUUGUGUAUCAGGGUUUAUUAAAUAAAUUUUAUACAUUUUAAUUUUCCCGAUUUUAAGAGAGAGAAUAAAUAAUUUUUUUUUAUUGUAAAAAAAAUAUCUAAAAUUGUUUAUUAGAAAUGAAAAGUUAUUCGUUCUUAAAUAUAUCUGGUUUAUUUAGAAAUGAAUUUAAUUCAGCUAUUUUGAUUUUAUUAUUUUAUUUGAUUAAUGUGAUAAAUAAAUUUAGUAAUAAUUAAAGGGAUAAGCUUUUAGUUAAUUUCUAAAAUAAUUUGAUUUGAAUUAAAAAUAUAUAGAUUUAGAAAUAUUUUUUAUUAAUAGUUUGUUAUAAUUAGUUUUUAUUUUAAUAUUAUUUUAUAUUUAUUUAGUAAUAUAUAAAUAAAUUUUAUUUAAUAAUUUUAUAUUAGAUAUAAUGAUAAAAUUAGUAUAUUUUAAAAUAUUUAGAUAAAUUUAUAUGUUAGAUUAUUUAAAGGAAUUCGGCAAAAUUUUUUAUUCGCCUGUUUAACAAAAACAUGUCCUUUAGAAAUUAGAAUUUAAGGUCUAACCUGCCCACUGAAAUUUUAAAUGGCCGCAGUAAUUUGACUGUGCAAAGGUAGCAUAAUCAUUAGUUUUUUAAUUAAAAGCUUGUAUGAAGGGUUGGACGAGAUAAAAUCUGUCUCUAAUUAAAUAUUAGAAUUUAAUUUUUAAGUUAAAAAGCUUAAAUUUAAGUAAAAGACGAGAAGACCCUAUAGAUCUUUAUAAUAUUUAUUGUAGUUUUAUUUAGGAUAAAGUUUAUUAAUUAUAAAGAAUAUUAUUUUAUUGGGGUAAUAAAAAGAUUGAAUUAAUUCUUUUUUUAAUUAAACAAAGAUGAUUGAUUAUGUGAUCCUUUUUUAUUGAUUAUAAGAUUAAGUUACCUUAGGGAUAACAGCGUAAUUUUUUUAAAGAGUUCAUAUCGAUAAAAAAGUUUGCGACCUCGAUGUUGGAUUAAAAAUUAUUUUGGGUGUAGAAGUUCAAAGUUAGGGUCUGUUCGACCCUUAAAUUUUUACAUGAUCUGAGUUCAGACCGGUGUAAGCCAGGUCGGUUUCUAUCUUUAUUAAAUUAUUAUAUUUCAGUACGAAAGGACCAAGUAUAAAAUAUAAUUAUAUUUAUUAUUAGAAUAAUAUU